UAGGGAAUCUUCCGCAAUGGGCGAAAGCUUGACGGAGCAACGCCGCGUGAGUGAUGAAGGUCUUCGGAUCGUAAAACUCUGUUAUUAGGGAAGAACAAAUGUGUAAGUAACUAUGCACGUCUUGACGGUACCUAAUCAGAAAGCCACGGCUAACUACGUGCCAGCAGCCGCGGUAAUACGUAGGUCCCGAGCGUUGUCCGGAUUUAUUGGGCGUAAAGCGAGCGCAGGCGGUUAGAUAAGUCUGAAGUUAAAGGCAGUGGCUCAACCAUUGUAGGCUUUGGAAACUGUUUAACUUGAGUGCAGAAGGGGAGAGUGGAAUUCCAUGUGUAGCGGUGAAAUGCGUAGAUAUAUGGAGGAACACCGGUGGCGAAAGCGGCUCUCUGGUCUGUAACUGACGCUGAGGCUCGAAAGCGUGGGGAGCGAACAGG
rnacentral:rRNA from 1 species